rnacentral:rRNA from 1 species
GACGAACGCUGGCGGCGUGCUUAACACAUGCAAGUCGAACGGAAAGGCCCUGCUUUUGUGGGGUGCUCGAGUGGCGAACGGGUGAGUAACACGUGAGUAACCUGCCCUUGACUUUGGGAUAACUUCAGGAAACUGGGGCUAAUACCGGAUAGGAUCUCCUGCUGCAUGGUGGGGGUUGGAAAGUUUCGGCGGUUGGGGAUGGACUCGCGGCUUAUCAGCUUGUUGGUGGGGUAGUGGCUUACCAAGGCUUUGACGGGUAGCCGGCCUGAGAGGGUGACCGGCCAAAUUGGGACUGAGAGACGGCACAGACUACUACGGGAGGCAGCAGUGGGGAAUAUUGCACAAUGGGCGGAAGCCUGAUGCAGCAACGCCGCGUGCGGGAUGACGGCCUUCGGGUUGUAAAAAGCUUUCGACUGUGACGAAGCGUGAGUGACGGUAAUGGGUAAAGAAGCACCGGCUAACUACGUG